UAAACAACUCAGGCUGUCUUGUCUUGGGAGAACAGUUAAGGAAUGGACACCAUGAGGGCAACGAACUUCUGAGAUAACUAAACGCACCUCUACUUGGCCACUCAGCUCCUCACCAGGCCCCAGGGGCCCACCCUUCCCGAGUUGCCUUCCCAGCAUGCCCCGCGCUUUUCCCGGCGUGCCCUGCGGCCGCUCCCCAAGCUGGUCUCCCGGAGGACUCCGGGCGCCCCUCCGCCAUCCGCAGCUCCCUGCAGACUUGCAGGCUCAGACAGGAGCUGUCCACCGCCUGCAUCAGGAAAAGGGCUUGCGUGCGUGCGGUAACCACCUUCUUCAACAUUCUAGGGAUACAAUGGUGAACAGGCGAAUGGAAUGGUGAAGCCAAGUCCUGGAGAUGACUGGUGUCAGUCCCCAGUUGUACUAAACCUGUUUUCAUGGAGUUUACACAAGAAGUGGCGACAAAAGACAGACAAUAACCAAGUGGUUUGGUGUGGAGAUUACUGAUGAAGAGUUUGACUUACUACUUGACAGAAUCCCCUUGAUGAAGAUGGAAAUGUCAGAGACCCCCAGUUCAUGGCCAUGUUGGAUUCUUAGCACUCCUUUUCCACAUUUUCUCAUGUCUUUGUAAUUUUUUUAUUCUUGUUUUUAAUACAGAGAAUGUACCCCUAAAAGUACUAGGAUUAUUUAAGUUUUCUCUUUAUUGCCUAGUAUCUUACUUAUUAAUAUUUUCUAAGUGACGAAGGAUUUUUGAAAAAACAUUGUUAACAAAAAGGUAGAAUUUUUACAUGAUGAACCACGGCAAUGCAUUUGAAACUAUUUAAUGUCUUAGAACCUGAAUAGUGGACCUGGGAGGAUAAUGUGUGACUGAGAUGACAAACGAGGCAUGUGAACUGUGUUUGCAGAGUUGGAAAGAAAAUUGCAGUAAGUGACAAAAGUCAAGUCCUGGAGAUGACCGGUAUUUAGUCCCCAGUUGCACUAAACAUUCCCCCACACACUGACCUUUUACCCCCCACUCGCCUCCCAAGGGACUCCCAUUAGGAGACAUCCUUCUGCUUUCUUCCCAGAGGAGUCUGCCUGGACAGUAGAGUACACACCCAUUGCCAAUGGUUGUGUUAAAGGCAGAGCAAGAAUGCUUUCUGAAAUACUCUCAAUCUGUAUUUUUCUAUCUGGGAACCCAAAUUUUUACUCUUUUCUAAAAUCUUUUCAUGGAUUUUAUAGGGUAGUUCAAGGCUUAAGCAUUUAAAAUUCUGAUCAGUAUUGACCAUUUUAUUCCUCGAGUACUUUAAGGCAUGUUGCAGUCCCAGGCAUCUGAUGAGUUGGGCUGAAGCCAUUGAAAGAUGAGCUGCUUCUUCCUAAAGAUACUUUUUUUCCCAGAGCAGUUUCAGAAUAUAACUGUCUUCAUCCCAUAUGCCUCCUGGACCAUCCUCCAAAUCUCAUGAUUAUCUCUUUAGCCACGAAACCCACCCAUGUUUUCUUUUAGUUCUUGAUAGCAGGGUGGAAGUUAGCAACCUGGUUUGGCCUAAAGGGCAUGAGAAGAGCAUGCUGCAAGUCAGAGAAUGUCCUCAGACAGAGUCGCAGGUGCUGGCAGUAGGAAGCCCUUGAAGUGAAAAAGAACCAGGAGUGCUGAGGAGGUACCAGUAGGCCUUACCUAAAGGUUCAAGCGAUUCUCCUGCCUUAGCCUCCCGAGUAGCUGGGAUUACAGGCACGAGCCACGACGCCCAGAAGAGAAUUCAUAUCCUCAGCAAGCUAGCACUAAAGGGAACCGCAGAGGUCAUAUUGUCCAUCUUCUUUCUGGAACAGGGAAGAAAUUUGAGACCCAAGAAAGGACAGAAGCAUGUUUUUCUGUUCCAUAAGAGAAGAAUGAAGGCAGCAACCCAUGUUGACGUGGUGGCUCUAGGGUAUUAUCCAGGCUCUCUACCUUCCAAAGCUAAGUUUCCUGCCUUCAGGGUCACAUUGUGGUUCUAACAGCUGCUGGAGCUCUGGCCUUCACGUUCUUGUGGCAGGCCUGAAGAAGGGGAAAAGGUGGAAGGGUGGAAAGGGGUUCCUUCUACCUGAGUCUGUUCCCUUUAAGCAUGAUUCUCAGGGCACUUGCAAACACUUCUGCUUAGGCCGGACAUGGUGGCUCACGCCUGUAAUCCCAGCACUUUGGGAGACUGAGGCGGGUGGAUCACCUGAGGUCUGGA